UUCCAUGCCAUUUUCUCUUUAUCCACCAUGAAAUCAAGUUUUCUUCACUUUCCUUUCCAUGUUUUCUUUUCCUUUCUUCUCCAAACUUCUUGAGCACUAAAUUUACAACCUUUAACCCCAAUUUUCAGCACAUCUAAACCCUAGGAGGAGAAGAAAGAAAAAGAGAGAAAGGAAGAAAAAGCUUGGUUUUGGUGAUUCACGCAAUGAAUGGUAAGAAUUCUUGUUUUUGGCUUGAGUAGUCUUUGAAAUUGAGUUAGUGACUUAGAGAAGUGUCUUGUGGUAGCAAAGAUUGGCUUGAUUGAAGAAAAAUUGGUAACAUGUAAGCCAAUAA
rnacentral:lncRNA from 1 species